rnacentral:rRNA from 1 species
AACGAACGCUGGCGGCGUGGCUAAGGCAUGCAAGUCGAACGGAUUCCCGCAAGGGAAUCAGUGGCGGACGGGUGAGGAAUACAUGGAUAACGUACCCCGGACACAGGGAUAGCGGCGGUAACCGCAAGGUUACCUAGCGAAAGUGCCGGUAAUACCUGAUGACCCCACGGAGUCGCAUGGCUCUGUGGGCAAAGCUCCGACGGUCCGGGAGCGGUUCAUGGCCUAUCAGCUAGUUGGCGGGGUAACGGCCCACCAAGGCGGCGACGGGUAUCGGGCGUGAGAGCGCGACCCGACACAUCGGAACUGAGACACUGUCCGGACACCUACGGGUGGCUGCAGCAACGAAUAUUCCGCAAUGGACGCAAGUCUGACGGAGCGACGCCGCGUGUGGGAAGAAGUCCU